CAGUCUGUUAGCUGAACAUUCCUAAAUACAUAUUCAGUCCUUCACUUCCUGAGAUGGUGCAACAUACAAGAGGAACAAGACAGCUGCAAGACAGUCCCACUCUAUGAAGUGCUACAUAUAUUUGGGCACCACACACAGAAGAGACUUGCAGGAACAUUUAUGCAACAACAUAAAGGCUUGGAAUCCCUUUGCGUUGAAAAUCAGUCCGACAAAGACCAAAGUCAUUCUCCAACUGAAGUCUAACACCACUGUUUCGGCAUCCAUGAUGUGCAGCUUAAGAUAAUUAAAAUUCUGCUACUUGGGCACCAAGUUCUCAUGAAAUGUUGCUCUAGACAAUGACAUCCCAAGAUGCAUCAGAAUGGCCAUGGAGUAUUUGGAAAGUUGGAGCAUUGGCUCUGGAAGGAAAGAGGAGUCAGACUGACUACCCUGAUUCAAGAGUUCCUCAAGAAUCUAUUCCCCAACUCUUUCCCAAGCCAACUGCUAGCUGUACCUUGCUCGCAACUCGGGAAGACUUGAGAUUGGUCUGCAAUUUUUCCCUAU